CCUACGGGAGACAGCAGUGAGGAAUAUUGGUCAAUGGGCGUAAGCCUGAACCAGCCAAGUCGCGUGAGGGAUGAAGGUUCUAUGGAUCGUAAACCUCUUUUAUAAGGGAAUAAAGUGUGGGACGUGUCCUGUUUUGUAUGUACCUUAUGCAUAAGGAUCGGCUAACUCCGUGCCAGCAGCCGCGGUAAUACGGAGGGUCCGAGCGUUAUCCGGAUUUAUUGGGUUUAAAGGGUGCGUAGGCGGCCUUUUAAGGCAGCGGUGAAAGUCUGUGGCUCAACCAUAGAAUGGCCGUUGAAACUGGGAGGCUUGAGUAUGUUUGAGGCAGGCGGAAUGCGUGGUGUAGCGGUGAAAUGCUUAGAUAUCACGCAGAACCCCGAUUGCGAAGGCAGCCUGCCAAGCCAUGACUGACGCUGAUGCACGAAAGCGUGGGGAUCAAACAGGAUUAGAUACCCUGGUAGUC
rnacentral:rRNA from 1 species